rnacentral:lncRNA from 1 species
AGAGAUAGGUAGUAUUCUACCCGCUUCGUUUACUUCAUUUAGAAAUAAACUUAGGGCACAUUUGGUUCGCACUAUGAAAGAUUACUAGGAGUAAAAAAAUAUCCGAAAAUCUUAUUCCUAUUCAUCCUAUUACUAAGAAUGUAACAUUUCAGUAUUUGAUUCGUACGAUCAUAUUAUUUAGUCAUAUUAUUUAAAAUUAUAUAAAAUAUACAAUUAAUUUAUUUAUUUUUUAAAUUAAUUUUAAAUAAUACUAUAAAAAAUUUCAACAUCUUUUUAGAAAAAAGAGAGAGAGAAUAUAGNGUUAGAGAGAAUGAGAGAGUUGAAAUUUUAGAAAAAAAAGGGGAGAAAUAGUUUAGUUUAGAGAGAGAAAAAGAGUUGACGUUUAGAGAGAAAAAGGUAAAUUUACAGAGAGAUAUGAGGUUAGAGUAUAUAGGAAAAUAAUACCAACUAGUCGGCGGGUACCGACCGUCCCUAGAGCAAGUGGCAAAAAGCUUGAUGGUUGGUACUCAAGACUCAAGUUUGAACCCUAGUUGAUUCACAUUUCCAGUUGAGUUUAUUUCUAAAUGAAAUAAACGAAGCGGGUAGCGUGCUACCUAUCCCUCAAAAAAAAAAAAAAACUAGUCGGCGGGUAGAAAAAAAGAAAAAGAUUAGACAUAUUAUGAUUACCCAAAUUCAUUAAUUUGAGAAUACCCACCCUCCCUCAAAGGAAUGAUAUUAGUACUUUGGAAUAAAUCUCAUUUCUAAGUAAAUUCAGUAUUACAAACUAAAUUAUUUAGUGCGUUUAGCCAAACACCGUUAUAUUUUUUUAUUCCUAUUGGAUUACUAGAAAUCUUAAAACGAUAGCGCGAACCAAACGCACCCUAGCUGAAAAUAUGAAUCAAGUAGGAUUAUCUUGGGUACCAACCACCAAACCUUUUGUCACUUCUGCUAGGGACGGUCGGUAAGGAGAGGAAUAGAUUCAAUAGAAGGAAAAGGGUAUGA